rnacentral:rRNA from 1 species
AGCGGAGGAAAAGAAACCAACAGGGAUUGCCUCAGUAACGGCGAGUGAAGCGGCAAAAGCUCAAAUUUGAAAUCUAGCACCUUCGGUGUUCGAGUUGUAAUUUGAAGAUGGUAACCUUGGGUUUGGCUCUUGUCUAUGUUCCUUGGAACAGGACGUCAUAGAGGGUGAGAAUCCCGUCUGAUGAGAUGCCCAUUCCUAUGUAAGGUGCUAUCGAAGAGUCGAGUUGUUUGGGAAUGCAGCUCUAAGUGGGUGGUAAAUUCCAUCUAAAGCUAAAUAUUGGCGAGAGACCGAUAGCGAACAAGUACAGUGAUGGAAAGAUGAAAAGAACUUUGAAAAGAGAGUGAAAAAGUACGUGAAAUUGUUGAAAGGGAAGGGCAUUAGAUCAGACUUGGUGUUUUACGAUUAUCUUCUCUUCUUGAGUUGUGCACUCGUAUUUCACUGGGCCAGCAUCGAUUCGGAUGGCAAGAUAAUGGCAGUUGAAUGUGGCUUCACUUCGGUGGAGUGUUAUAGCUUCUGCUGAUAUUGCCUGUCUGGAUCGAGGGCUGCGUCUUUGACUAGGAUGC